rfam:Stigmatella aurantiaca DW4/3-1, complete genome.
GUUGUGGUCGGGACAACGUGGGGACGUGAACCCCGCCAGGUCCGGAAGGAAGCAACGGUAGCGCACCUUCGCGUGUGUCCCGGCCGUUCUUAU